GAUGAACGCUGGCGGCGUGCCUAAUACAUGCAAGUCGAGCGAACAGACGAGGAGCUUGCUCCUCUGACGUUAGCGGCGGACGGGUGAGUAACACGUGGAUAACCUACCUAUAAGACUGGGAUAACUUCGGGAAACCGGAGCUAAUACCGGAGAAUAUAUUGAACCGCAGGGUUCAAUAGUGAAAGACGGUUUUGCUGUCACUUAUAGAUGGAUCCGCGCCGCAUUAGCUAGUUGGUAAGGUAACGGCUUACCAAGGCAACGAUGCGUAGCCGACCGGAGAGGGUGAUCGGCCACACUGGAACUGAGACACGGUCCAUACUCCUACGGGAGGCAGCAGUAGGGAAUCUUCCGCAAUGGGCGAAAGCCUGACGGAGCAACGCCGCGUGAGUGAUGAAGGUCUUCGGAUCGUAAAACUCUGUUAUUAGGGAAGAACAAAUGUGUAAGUAACUAUGCACGUCUUGACGGUACCUAAUCAGAAAGCCACGGCUAACUACGUG
rnacentral:rRNA from 1 species